CCUACGGGAGGCAGCAGUAAGGAAUAUUGGACAAUGGUGGCAACACUGAUCCAGCCAUGCCGCGUGCAGGAUGACGGUUCUAUGAAUUGUAAACUGCUUUUAUACGGGAAAAACCCUCAAGACGUGAUUUUGAGCUGAUUGUACCGUAAGAAUAAGGAUCGGCUAACUUCGUGCCAGCAGCCGCGGUAAGACGAAGGAUCCAAGCGUUAUCCGGAUUUAUUGGGUUUAAAGGGUGCGUAGGCGGACUCAUAAGUCAGUGGUGAAAUCCCAAAGCUUAACUUUGGAACUGCCAUUGAUACUGUAAGUCUUGAGUAUGUUUGAAGUGGGCGGAAUGUAUUGUGUAGCGGUGAAAUGCUUAGAUAUAAUACAGAACACCAAUUGCGAAGGCAGCUCACUAAACCAUAACUGACGCUGAGGCACGAAAGCAGUGGGAGACAACAGAUAGUAUACCUACGUAGUCACUCGACCUAACCGACUAGAAUACUACGAUAUGUGCGAUAUACUAGUACGUGUCGUA
rnacentral:rRNA from 1 species